rnacentral:rRNA from 1 species
AACCCGGCCAAACGGGGGGUAGACGGGACCCGGAAGGUACUGAAGUUCGACUGAUUGGGGUG